rnacentral:rRNA from 1 species
AUACGGAGGGGGCUAGCGUUGUUGGGAAUUACUGGGCGUAAAGCGCGCGUAGGCGGACCAGUCAGUCAGGGGUGAAAUCCCGGGGCUCAACCCCGGAACUGCCUUUGAUACUGCUGGUCUUGAGUUCGAGAGAGGUGAGUGGAAUUCCGAGUGUAGAGGUGAAAUUCGUAGAUAUUCGGAGGAACACCAGUGGCGAAGGCGGCUCACUGGCUCGAUACUGACGCUGAGGUGCGAAAGCGUGGGGAGCAAACAGGAUUAGAUACCCUAGUAGUCC